UUUUUUGGACUUGGCUUAUGGCAUUUUAUCUCAUGUAUCCAUAUCAUGUAAUAUCCUUCCAAUAUGCACAAAAAUCUUAUAAUUCCAUGAAUUUUUUAUAUUAAACAUGCAUCCUUCUCUUUCUUUUGAAAUUAAGAAGCAAAAAUAAAAAAUAAAAUAAAUAAUAAAUAAUAAAAAAAAAGUCUCUCCAAAGAUUGUUCCCUUAUUACUUAGAUCAACAUGAC
rnacentral:lncRNA from 1 species